GCAUUUGGAAGUUCCAGGCUAGGGGUCAAAUCAGAGCUGCAGCUUCCGGCCUGUAACACAACCAUAACAACGUGGGAUCCCAGCCUUAUCUUUGACCUACACCACAGCUUGUAACACUGAGCAAGGCCAGGAAUCAAACUCGCAUCCUCACAGAUACAAAUCAGGUUCUUAACCCACUGAGCCACAGUAGGAACUCUGAAACUAUUUUUGUUAAUGAAAAGGACUAAAAUGCUCUUUUUGUUCGGGAAUUUGCAUGUUAUCUUUACCUAGAAGUCAAACUUACCUUGAUUCUAGUCAUUUAAAUGUAAUAUUUUGUGUUUUGUAAUUGAGCACAGAUACAUUUUUUUUUCAAAUACAAACUACAUGAUUCUUUGAUCACUCCUGUAGUAGAGACAAUUAACAGGUAACAGGUACUUGAUCUGCCUUCUUUUCUGUGUAGACAUAUGGAUUCUAUUCCAUUAUACAUAGAAUCCAUACCUAUACAUACACACUCCCAUUUGUGCAUACACACAUAUUUCCAUCUACAUCUCUAUCUAUGUCUAUAUCAUACCUGUAAGCUGACCAUCUAGCAUAAAGAACAAGACUCUCCUGUGGCUGGAUGUGCCCAUGUGACUAAACACUGGCCAGCUGAAUGUAAGUGGCAGUGAUGUGUCCACCUCGUAGGAAAUGCAGAUUCCUCAUCUCCCUUCUCCCUCCCUGCACUUUGGAAUGAAACUAAGUGCCUGGGGCUUUAACAAUAAACUUAUCCUUUCGUUCUAUCAUCACUUGAGAACAAUGUUAAUAUUCCCAACUCAUUAUAUUCAUUUCUCCCUCUGGUUCCAUCAAUUUUUGAUUUAUGUAGAAACAGUUCUGCUAUAGGUGCACAUAUAUUCAGGAUUAUUAUGGUCUGAUGAGUUGACAUUUAAUAUUAUGCAGUUACAUAGAAGUUGCAAGUUGAUAUAAUGACAUUCAGCAUCAUAAAAAACCCUCUAUCUCAGGUAACAGUAUUUAUAUCCAAGUUUACUUGCUCUCAUAUAAUGCAGCUCUGUAUAUGUAUAUCUAUAUAGUUAACAUACCUCCUAUGUAAACUGCAUAUAGUUGGGUCAUAAAUUUUUCUAUCUAGCAUGAAAAUCUUUGUCAUAUAUCAAUAUAAUUAUUAUAAUCUUUGGAUUUUAUUCUUUUUUAUACUUGUUUCCUCUUCUCUUUGUUCUUUUCUUUUUUGUGUUCUUCAGGUUUAAUCAGUUACUUUUAGGGUUUUAUAUAUUUUCUUCUCCCUUAGCUCUGCCUUAGUGUGUGUGUGUAUGGUGCAGUACCUUUCUUUUUUAGGGUCAGGCUACUCUCCCUCGCUGCAUUCAUCAAAGUGGUACUCAGGGAUCUAGGUUGCUGCCACUUUGUGACACUGCAAUUUUAACAUGGGAUCAUACAGGGUAUUUUUUGUUCUGGCUUGGAAGUGGAAAACAUCCCCUUCUCCCAUAUUCAGUUACCAAAGUGCAGUCACAUGUUACAAUGUAACUGGACAGGAUGUUAAGAAAGAUUAGACGACAUGUAUUUGAAGCAGGGAAAAGGGAAGGAAAUAUCUCAGGUGGAGGAAACAGCAUGAACAAUAAGCAGAAGAUAACAAUGCAGUGGAAACUGAGCAGAUGGAUUUUUUUUUUAGAGAGUGGUGGUAACUAUAGUGAGAUGAUAAGAUGUGUUGAGAUUAUAGAGGUUUUGAAAUUCAGCCAGAAAUGCUGAGGUUUCGCUGUGUCUUUGGAAAUAUGAUAGGUUACAUAGUUCAUAGAUGUCUACUUCCUCACCCUGCCUGCACAUCCUGUUAAAUGUGACUCGCCUUGCCUUCUGAUAGGUGGAAUGUAUCUCCCUGCCCCUCUUCUGGCCCAGUCAUGUGACUUUUUUCAGGCCAAUGUAGUCUGAGCAGUCAUGUCAUAUGCUACCUCCAUGAAAAAGUUUAUAUUUGAUUGUAUGGCCAAGUUAGUCCUCUCGUGCAUCUAAUCUCUGUCUUAAGUAAAGCACGCCACCAAUAGACCCUGCUUCCUUGUUGUGGACUGGAAUGAAAAGCCACUAGCAGAACUGCAGACAAUAUUCAGAUUACAUACACUGAGGAUAAGAAAUAAGUACCAAUGUUUAGAGCAAAGUCGACAGACACAGUAAGUACUAAAAUAUGGUUUCUAAUUUUUUUUCUUUAUGGGGGGAAGUGUAGAAUAGACAGCAGAACAACAUUAGGAAUGAUAAAGUAUAAUAACUUAGUACCUGGGUUUCAGAACUAGACAAAGGUGGAUACAACCAUUCUGUAUUCCCCCUACCAUGCCGGUCAAUCACAAUUUAUUUUUUGUUUUUGUAAAUCAUUUAUAAUAAUCCAUAUUCCACAGAACUUUAGUGAAAUAGAAAUGUAUGCCCAGUGCUUAACUUCAAAUUUGUUUAAGAGUUAUCAUUGGUAAUGUAUAAACACUUUUUUGGGGAUCACACCCAUGGCAUACAGAAGUUCCCAGGCCAAGGAUCAAACCCACACAGUGACAAGUGCCUAAUCCUUUACUGCUAGGCCACCAAGGAAUACCCUAAACGCUAUCAAUAUGCACCAAACCAAGUUCUUGAACCAGGUCAUAAGCGUGGGUCUGAAGGAUGCAGUGUGGCCUGAUAGAAAGGUGCCUGAUGCUGUUAAACCAAAGACUGAUGCUUAGAACUCCAGGUCUGCAGCUAGAGCUCUUUUUGCAAAUCAUCUAAACUUUAGUCCCUUUGCCUCCAAAUUAUAGGCAAAUCAUAACUAUCUCACCUAAGAUAAGAUGUAACCUUAAGAUGUAAAUGCAAUCCCAGGUGCCAAGCACCUUUUAAAUUCAGGACAUGGAAUACAGUACAACUUCAUAAGAGCCACUGCAAAGUGCAUGGGCUCUUAUGAAGAAAUUGCAGAGGGGUUGAAGUACAAAAAUUGAAACACCUGAUGAGAGUCAUUUAAUCACCUUGGGAUGCAGAGAUUUCAACUGGAAAAUUGGGAUGCUACUUCAAAAGCAUUUUAUGUGUUGACUAAUUUAUGAUCAGGAGGCACUUUAAAAAGCCAAGCAUCCAGCCUCAUAAUAGCAUAUUAAUAGCAAUAAAAACUAGCAUGCCAUGCAAAUUCUAAAUCUAAAACACAUUCUGUAUAAAUUCCCUUGGCAAAUUCAUUUGGCCCUAAUAGAACCAUUCAUUUUCCAUCUUAAGAUGCAGUUCAGCAUUAGUCUGGUUAUCACAGAGCUAUUUUAUUCUACUCCAGGGGAGAAUACUUGAGUCGGAUGAAAUGAUCCCUCUGUGAAGUUACUAUACAUCCUUUAGUUAAACUGGUUGGCAUGGGAAAGCUUAAUUAGCAACUGUAAAGCAUUUUUUUUUCAAAUUUUCACAUAGAUUUCCAGGAAAAUUAUCUUGCAUUAUGAUUUUUUCACUCUACGUAUUUGCUUAUUAAAGGCAUAUGGCCUCUUCUCUCUCUCUUUCUCGCUCUCUCUUUGAAUUCUGUUUUUAGUCACCUGGGGGUGAAUGCGAGGAUAGGCAUCUCUUAAGGAAAAAUAAACACGUCACUAAGGUCUUUAUGUUUUGCUUUAUUUUUUGAAUGCCUAUAUGUUUUAUUACAGAAAAGAGAUGACUAUGUCAUAAUAAACAAAAGAUAGAAAAGGUUAUUUGAGGAUGAAGAAGAGUGUAAAAUAAUAAGUACCCAAUUAUAACAAACCCACAAAGGCUAUGAAUUAGAGCUUUGUGGACAGGUGGAUCAGGGGCUGGAGAAAGAGUCAAUAACAACAAAAAAAUGCAUUAACUAAAAGAAUGAAAAAAAAAACCCUUCUUUUUGUGGGAUAUGACAGUCCACUUACAAAAUGAAAUGUAAAUAUAUAUGUACAUAUAUAUCAGUGUAAAUAAAUUAGGGAAAAUGAGUUUCAUUUAUUCAUUUGUAGAGAUGACACUGUUGAAAGAAAUUGGAAAUGCAUGUAUGUGGUGUGAUUCCACUUAGGUAAAAAUGAAACGAAUUUUAAUAUCUUCUCUACACAGGUGCUUGUACAUAUCUAUGAGUUCAGGAAAAGGUUCACACCAUCCUGGUAAAAGUGACUGGAUAUCUGGAUGUAUGUCAUCUUAGUAAGGACAGAAAUUGUUUUCUCAUCUUUGCAUUCCAAAGAUAAAAUUGUCUCUGGUCUUUCUGCCAGCUCAUGAUCACAUAGAUAAAAUGGUAGGUAUACCAGAAUAUCUCACUGUCCAAAGGAGAAUUCUCUUGGAACAUUUCUUCCCCUUCUGUGAUACUGAUUGAUACACCUGAGUGUGUGAAGUUCCACUCAUGGAAAGUACUAUUUUUUUAAAUGUGCACUUCAUAAUACUUCAGGGUUUGCCACAAAUGUUCACUUAUAAAAUGCAGGUAACUUUUCUGCACAGCAAAGGCAACAAUCAAUAGAGUGAAAUGACAAUCUAUGAAAUGAAAGAAAAUAUUUGCAAACCAUAUAUCUGAUAAGAGGUUACUGUCCAAAAUAUAUAUAGAACUCAAAUACUCAACAGCAAAAACAAAAACAACAACAGAAAAACAAAUAAUAUGAUACAGAAAAUGAGCAAAGGACCUGACUAGGCAUUUCUCAAAACAAGACCUACAAAUGGGCAACAGAUACAUGCAAAGGUGCUCAGCAUCACUAAUCAUCAGAGAAACGAAAAUCAAAACCACAAUGAGUUAUUACUCACACCUGUUAGGAUAGCUAUUAUCAAAAAGACGAAAGAAAAGAAGAGUUGGUGAGGAUGUGGAGAAAAAGGAACCUCCCUGUGCUGUUCGUAGGGACGUAACUUGGUGAAGCCAUUAUUAAAAACACUAUAGAGGCUCUUCAAACAAUUAAAAAUAGAACUAACAUGUGAUGCAACAAUCCCACUUCUGUGUGUAAAUCCAAAGGAAACGAAAUCAGUAUCUUGAAGAGAUAUCCAGUCUCCUACAUUCACUAUAGUAUUAUUUUCAAUAGGCAAGAUAUGGAAACAAUCUACUCGUCUUUCAUCAAUGAAUAAAGAAAAUAUGAGAUACACACACACACACUCAGAGUGGAAUAUUAUUUUGCCAUAGAAAAGAAUUCUGCCAUUUGUUACAACAUGGAUAAAUAUGAAGGACAUUACUAAUGGAAAUAAACCAGAUACGGGAAGAUCAAUACUGCCCAAUCUCACACAAAUGUGAAAUCUAAAACAGGUGAACUCAUAACAGCAAAGAGUAGAGUAGAAUGGGGCUAGGCGAAGAGGAAAAUGUGGAGAUGCUGGUUAGAGUGUACAAAGAUUCAGUAAUUCAGAAUGGAUAAAUUCUGGAAGUCUAGUGGCUAGCACAGUGACACUAAUUAACACCAUACCGUAUCCUUGACUUUUACUAAAAGAUUUGAAGUGUUCUCACCACCACCAAAACAAAAACAAACACACAAAAAACAGGAACUAUGUGAGGUGAGGGACGUUAAUUAGCUUGUUUGUGACAAUCAUUUUACAACAUAUGUACAUUGAAACAUCAAGUUGUACACUUUACAUAUAUACAUUUUUAUCUGUUAAUUGUACCUCAAGAAAGCUGGAAAAAACAAACUGGGUAUAGCAAUGGUUCUCAAACAGGAUUACUGGAUAGACUAAAUUGAUAAAUUUUUAAAGCAUAUUUUCGCAUCUUUGCAAUGUGUGGUAUUUAGUCACUCUUUCCCUGAAGGUCCUAGUAUCUUUCUGCAUGAAAUAGUGGAGAGGAACUUAGAACUGAAAAUGCAAAACUUGGCUGUACUUAUCACCAGAUGUGUAAUUUUUGGAUGAGUCCUUCCCCUUUCUGACCUCAGUUCGUCCUUUUUUGUAAAAUAUUUUUGCAAAAUAUCUAUGAUAAUAAUAUAUAAUUCUCCAUGCUUUAGGAAUGAAUGAGACAGUGUGUGUCAAAAUGCUUCAGGAAGACCAACAGGCCCUAAGACAACAGAUGUUAUAAUUCACCAAUAUAUAUCUCAAGGAGAAACAAUUAUGAAGACAUUCAUACUAAAUAUAAAAGGACUGAGAAAGUUUAAUUAUCUUUCCAUGGAGACUUGCUUUUUAGUAGUACUGAAAACCAAUUUUUAUUCUAUAGAACACUAGGUUCAAGGAGCAUUAAUAUUGUUAAGAUGCAUUGUUUGACAACAAAACUCUAAAGUUAGAUAUAUUUUGACAGCAAAGUCUGAUAAAAUACUUACUGCAUACUCCCCAUUGUACUUAGUCUGAAGAUAGCAAGAUUAACAUAAAAGACAUUAAUAGCCUUAGAAUAGAUCUUGCAUUCUCAUAGGAAAAGUAAAAGAUAAAAAAACCCAACAAACAAGAUUGUUGUAGCUAGUGAUAAGAACAAAUAAAAUGCUGUGAUAGUAAAUAAUCAGGGAAAGGGGGCUAUUUAGAAAGGUGGUUGAAGAGAGGCAGCUCAGCUGAUAUAGGGGCUAAGGUCUAAAAGCUGCAGAGGAAGCCCUCAGAUGUAUAAACAAGUGAUAUCUCUUCCAAGUGGAAGGAACAGCAAGUUCAGGCAAAAGCCACCUGAAAAAGAAAGAGCUUCUGUUUUUUCGAACAUGAGAAGAAAAUGUGGCUUAAGCAUGGUGAGCCAAUGGAGAGAGGAAAAGAACUGAAGCUUCAGGUUAGUCAGGGAUAGGGUAUAUUCUAGAUUGAGAAAGUACUGGUAAAGCAUUUGAAUUUUAGUAAGUCCUAGAAAGGAAACAACUAUAUUAAUGACUC